rnacentral:rRNA from 1 species
UACAGAGGGUGCAAGCGUUAUCCGGAUUCACUGGGUUUAAAGGGUGCGUAGGCGGGUAGGUAAGUCAGUGGUGAAAUCUUCGAGCUUAACUCGGAAACUGCCUUUGAUACUAUCUAUCUUGAAUAUUGUGGAGGUAAGCGGAAUAUGUCAUGUAGCGGUGAAAUGCUUAGAUAUGACAUAGAACACCUAUUGCGAAGGCAGCUUACUACGCAUAUAUUGACGCUGAGGCACGAAAGCGUGGGGAUCAAACAGG